UGGGGAAUUUUGGACAAUGGGCGAAAGCCUGAUUCAGCAAUGCCGCGUGUGUGAAGAAGGCCUUCGGGUUGUAAAGCACUUUUGUCCGGAAAGAAAUCCUUGGCUCUAAUACAGUCGGGGGAUGACGGUACCGGAAGAAUAAGCACCGGCUAACUACGUGCCAGCAGCCGCGGUAAUACGUAGGGUGCAAGCGUUAAUCGGAAUUACUGGGCGUAAAGCGUGCGCAGGCGGUUUGCUAAGACCGAUGUGAAAUCCCCGGGCUCAACCUGGGAACUGCAUUGGUGACUGGCAGGCUAGAGUAUGGCAGAGGGGGGUUAGAAUUCCACGUGUAGCAGUGAAAUGCGUAGAGAUGUGGAGGAAUACCGAUGACGAAGGCAGCCCCCUGGGCCAAUACUGACGCUCAUGCACGAAAGCGUGGGGAGCAAAACAGGAUUAGAUACCCUGGUAGUCCACGCCCUAAACGAUGUCAACUAGUUGUUGGGGAUUCAUUUCCUUAGUAACGUAGCUAACGCGUGAAGUUGACCGCCUGGGGAGCACGGUCGCAAGAUUAAAACUCAAAUGAAUUG
rnacentral:rRNA from 1 species